rnacentral:rRNA from 1 species
AUUGAACGCUGGCGGCAGGCCUAACACAUGCAAGUCGAGCGGAUGAAGGGAGCUUGCUCCUGGAUUCAGCGGCGGACGGGUGAGUAAUGCCUAGGAAUCUGCCUGGUAGUGGGGGAUAACGUCCGGAAACGGGCGCUAAUACCGCAUACGUCCUGAGGGAGAAAGUGGGGGAUCUUCGGACCUCACGCUAUCAGAUGAGCCUAGGUCGGAUUAGCUAGUUGGUGGGGUAAAGGCCUACCAAGGCGACGAUCCGUAACUGGUCUGAGAGGAUGAUCAGUCACACUGGAACUGAGACAGGGUCCAGACUCCUACGGGAGGCAGCAGUGGGGAAUAUUGGAAAAUGGGCGAAAGCCUGAUCCAGCCAUGCCGCGUGUGUGAAGAAGGUCUUCGGAUGGUAAAGCACUUUAAGUUGGGAGAAAGGGAAGUAAGUUAAUACCUUGCUGUUUGGACGUUACCAACAGAAUAAGCACCGGCUAACUUCGU